ACCGAGGAGGUUCAGUGCCACCUGGGAGGCAUGCCAGCUGCCUUACUUUUUAAGCGUGGGGGCCGCUCGGUGAAAAUGAACUCUGCACAUGCUCAUGGUCACGUUUCCCUAUGAUUUGUCCUACACGUGUUGAAAAGGAAUUCCAGGAAUUCUCAGUUUUCCGGGCCGUUCCAGCUCCGCACCGAGACGCAGCAUACAUGCCGAAGACUCUCUAGUACUGUGUGUGACAACAAACAGCCGACUUUCUUAACAGGGGAAGAAGUGUUUUGAAACUGGAUUGAUGCGAAAUGAAAGGGGGCGCUAUGAGGGAACGGAUGUUUCAGCACCCGGCGCUGCAGGACCACGAGCCCCCGCCGGGGGACAGCAGUGUGCCUUCAUUUGAGGCUGCUACCGUAAAGGAAACGACAUGGGCGAUGCCAGCUAUGCAAAGCUUGUGUAUGUUUGUUUGUGUGUGUGUGUCUGUGAUUCGAAGGAAUAACUUUCAUGCCUACUGCUGCCAAGGAGUUUCAUUUUAUAUGGGCAAGAAGAAGGCGGAAGGACAUUGCCUGUUUCAUAUCCCAGCUGCUGAGGCUGAAUCGAGAGUGUUGCAGUCUAAGGAAAAGGACUCAAAUCCUGUCUUACUCUUUAUUCACUCUCCUUGCCUCGUCUAUUUCUUAACCCCUGAUGGGCCACACAAUGCUGCUAGGUAGCAUUUAUUUACCCGUGGUUCCAAAAGCCACACUCUUCCUGCUGUAUAGUUUUGUUUUUAAAUAUUACCCCUUUGACAUCCAAACUUAUUUGCUGAUAUACCCAGUCACAACCCACAACUGUGGUGUACAGAGAGCACAGGACUACUGUCUUACUGGAGAGUAAGUCCCAUUGAACUGGGUUGGACUAAUUCCUGCAUAGGAUUAGCCAGCACAGUCUUUCAAACACUACAAAGUACUGCAGAACAAAAACUAUCCAAAUGGGUCUAGGUUGGGGGAGGGGGGACUUUAAUCAGCCUGAGGGCCACAUUCUCUCACGGACAAAUUUCUGGGGGCCACUUGCAUUGCUGAGAGGGGCCAGAGGCAAGUAGGUAGGGUUGUGGGUGUGAUUCUUUGCCUUGUUCAGUAAGCCACAUUCUAGGCAUGCCAAAGGCAGAGAUUUAUAUACACACAUCUCUCCAUCUAGGCAAGCAAGGGCCAUCUUUACAGUUCAAGAGCACUUUCCAGUCAGGCAAAAACUUGUGAAGAUAGUGUGGAAGAGGGGCAUGGCUUGGGGACAGUUCAGAAGACGGAUAAAGGGCCACAUUUGACCUCCAGGCCUAAGGUUCUCCCACCUGACCCAGACAGACUUACCAGCUAUCAGGAAAUCCUCACAUUUUAGGUAGGUCCAACACCAUAACCACACAACUGCAGUCAUAUUCAUUCUUCCCCACCCAAGAGUCUGCCAGCUUGUUCUCCUCCGUGGACCAAAAACAGGCACUUAAAACAUGAAUAUUCCCGUGGUUUAUGCUCUGGCAAGGGUGAAACAGCUUCAAGAGCAUGAAGAUUACCGUAAGUUAUUCUGCGUGCCAGUUUCAAUAUUACAAAGUGGAGAGCACUAGUUCAACAGCAAACAGCACACCCACCUAGUAAGAGUAGCAGGAAGUUUGACAGAAGUCAGAGGUAUACUUAUAAGGUAUACAUUAUACCUUGCUGUGCAAGAGAGCCCUGUCUGUGGUAUUAUGAAAUUGCUUUCUGUGCUUGAUACUCACCAUAUGGGAAGACAGAUUACAAAGCACUGUUUAGAGGUCCUUUUUCGUAUGAAGUCUAGCAGAAAACAUAGAAUUGGAUAACGGUGGUGGAAUAUGGUUCAGCAGUCGGACGCCAUGCCUUCCAAUGUUGUAUUCAAGGCUUGGGCACUCAACGUUUGGAAUCAGAAUGUUCCAUGAAGUUACAGCAUCCUCUACUGGCAGAUGUAUGACACUUCAGUAUUAGAAACAAACGCUGUCCCAUGAAUUAAGCAUGGAAACUGCCACCUGAAGUCUAAACUUACCAGUGCCUACACAGGCAGCUAUGCCUCUGAUAUAAGAACGACAAUUUCCAUAUAACCCUUAAAAGUGCUGCCAGCAUCUUAUGUGAGGGAUAAGAAACUUGGGGAUCUUCAAAUGUUGUUGGACUCCCAAUACCAUCACCAGCCAGAAUUACUGGUAGCUAGGCUUGAUGUGGGGAGCAACAUUUGGAGGACAAUAGAUGGAAAAUUAUGAACAGGCAGUCUGGAGCAACCACCUGGCUUAGUUAACCCAACAACCAUCACUAUUCCAAAGCAGCAUGCAAACAUUUUCAACAAACACAUUUGCAACAUCUCGUUGCACAAUUGUUUGAUAGUAAAACUGCCCAUUGUGGGCUUUAAGAGAAAUUAAGAUCUCAGAGCGAUUGAGAACUAGCAGUGUCCAUUGCACCCUACAGCCAGGUCUGUUUUAAUUCUUCUACAUAUUCACCUAAAUUACAUCCAUUGCGAGGAAGGCUGCCAGAGUAACGGAGUGCGAUGGCACAGGAAACGUUUGCGGCCCUUGGAGAUGGCUUGGAAUGAGAAAGAGGCUGAACCAUUUUGGCUAACUGGCGGGAAGCUGCUGGAGAUGCCUUGGACUCCAGUGCUGCACUGCUGUGGGGAACAAGCCCCACUUGAGAUAACCAUGCUGUAAGAUCGGGACUUCCUAAAUUCAGGUAUAAUAUGUGAAUGAAUCGUAUUUCUUGAGACUAGUGUCACUCAUGCAAUCUGCAUAACCAGCUUCACCACUGUAACCCUGGAAUUCUCUAGGUGCUUUAGGACUAACUCUUCAGAAGCACAAAUACAGCAGUGUGAAUGAGGUGGUGGUGGGGGCUUGUUUAGGCCUCGAUAUCACUACAAUAUAGGAAGAUAAUGAUCCUGAUUAUACUUGCUAAUCAGUCCUUUUUCUUCUGCAGCAAGAUUUUAUCCAUUCAACCUGUCAUCAGAGUAAAUCCAUAAUCUUGAAUCUGGGUAAUGAUUCAGGAACCAAGUGCUGAUCCAGGCAGCUACUUGAAGCUACUUUGUUAUGCCAGAGGUUUGUUUAGCUUCUUAGGAAGGCCACUGCAUUCCUUGCAAAAGGUCUCAGCUAAUACCUAGGAGAUUCUGUUUCUAGCUAUCUAAAGCUUACAUAAUUCCAACUCACACCAGGCCUUUGAUACUCCCUGCUUUUCAUUCCAGCUGCGGAAAGCCUACAGCAAGCUAAUGCUUCUCGCUUUGAAUGUCAUCCUCAGAACCUUAAGAUAAUUACUUUGUUCUUCUGUUCAUAGGCAAGGCUGAUUUCUGCUACCAAAAAAUAACAUAUUCAGGAUUAUUCAAAGAGCCCUACAACCAAAGGAACAGAUUUUUAUGGGACUGCAGAGGGAAGGAGAGGCAGGAACACUCCAUUGCACAAAAGUAAACUCUUGUUGUAUUUACAGGACUGUUAGGAUCCAGUUGACUGAACUUGUUAAUUUCCUCAAAAGCAAUAAAGUCCUCUGUCAGCCAGGAUGCUGAGCACCCACCCCUUCCUACUUCAGAUGGCAGCAGCCAUUGCUACAAACCACCCAUGCAACAGCUGUAUCAAAUCUCAGCCGGUCUUCGGAAAAAGGUCCCAGCCAAGGAAAUAAGUUUGAAAAGUGCUUGAUCUCAGGCUCUUAUGUACACCCUGACAGCACAGACAUACUAAAACUGCAGGCUUGCUUUUCUGUUUUCUUGGACAAGCCAUUUAUAACACCCUGUCUACAUCUCUUAACUUCAAGGUGCCUGUGGAAUGUUACCUCUACAGGGACUUGGGGGUUCAAGUGCCUGGCGUGCUAUGGCCCAUGGGGUCACGAAGAGUCGGACACGUCUAAACAACAACAUUUUGCACAUAAAACCAAAGGGUGGGCAUAGUAAUCAAACCCCAAUGCAAACCCAUUUAGUAAAAGUAUAUCCUUCCAAAGGCAGGAAAGAAAUCUCUUUGCAAGUCCAAGCUCACAUUCUCCACUUUUGAU